rnacentral:sRNA from 1 species
UGUGAACCAUCUUGUUGCUUCGGGGGGACCCUGCCGCUUCGUCGGAGCGGCGCCUCGGAGUUAUCAAACACUGCAUCAUUGCGUCGGAGUCAAAGUAAAUGAAACAAAACUUUCAACAACGGAUCUCUUGGUUCCAGCAUCGAUGAAGAACGCAGCGAAAUGCGAUAAGUAAUGUGAAUUGCAGAAUUCAGUGAAUCAUCGAAUCUUUGAACGCACAUUGCGCCCUCUGGUAUUCCGGGGGGCAUGCCUGUUCGAGCGUCAUUUCACCACUCAAGCCUGGCUUGGUAUUGGGCGUCGCGGCACCGCGCGCCUUAAAGUCUUCCGGCUGAGCUGUCCGUCUCUAAGCGUUGUGGCAACUAUUCGCUUCGGAGGCCGGAUGGCCGCGGCCGUUAAAUCUUUCACAAGGUUGACCUCGGAUUA